CCUACGGGCGGCAGCAGUGGGGAAUAUUGCACAAUGGAGGAAACUCUGAUGCAGCGACGCCGCGUGAGGGAAGACGGUCUUCGGAUUGUAAACCUCUGUCUUUGGGGAAGAAAAUGACGGUACCUAAAGAGGAAGCUCCGGCUAACUACGUGCCAGCAGCCGCGGUACUACGUAGGGAGCGAGCGUUGUCCGGAAUGACUGGGUGUAAAGGGAGCGUAGGCGGGCUAGAAGGUUGAAGGUUAAUGCUACGGGCUUACCAGGUAGCUGCGUUUAAAACUUGUUGUCUUGAGUGAGGUAGAGGUAGGCGGAAUUCGUGGUGUAGCGGUGAAAUGCGUAGAUAUCAGGAGGAACACCAGUUGCGAAGGCGGCCUGCUG
rnacentral:rRNA from 1 species